rnacentral:rRNA from 1 species
GAUGAACGCUGGCGGCGUGCCUAAUACAUGCAAGUCGAGCGAACAGACGAGGAGCUUGCUCCUCUGACGUUAGCGGCGGACGGGUGAGUAACACGUGGAUAACCUACCUAUAAGACUGGGAUAACUUCGGGAAACCGGAGCUAAUACCGGAUAAUAUAUUGAACCGCAUGGUUCAAUAGUGAAAGACGGUUUUGCUGUCACUUAUAGAUGGAUCCGCGCCGCAUUAGCUAGUUGGUAAGGUAACGGCUUACCAAGGCGACGAUGCGUAGCCGACCUGAGAGGGUGAUCGGCCACACUGGAACUGAGACACGGUCCAGACUCCUACGGGAGGCAGCAGUAGGGAAUCUUCCGCAAUGGGCGAAAGCCUGACGGAGCAACGCCGCGUGAGUGAUGAAGGUCUUCGGAUCGUAAAACUCUGUUAUUAGGGCAGAACAAAUGUGUAAGUAACUAUGCACGUCUUGACGGUACCUAAUCAGAAAGCCACGGCUAACUACGUG